UACCUUUUAUGCAGAGUAAAAGUUACCAUUUUCUUCUUUCACUUCUGCUAUAUGGACUGCAAAACCCCCAGUUUGUGUCAAGGGAACGGUUUGCAUUCAGAAAUCAGAACUCAUCUUGGCUUAGAUUUGUCCAGAUUCUUCUUAUAGGGGUACAGACAACGGUGCCCUGAAGAAACGCCUGAGAUUUAAUAGAAUACCUGCAAUGAAGAGAGACAAAAUUGUAACUAGCACUUGAAUGGUGCAUAGCUGCUAUAAUUAAAACUCCGGCUGGUG